UACGUAGGUGGCAAGCGUUGUCCGGAAUUAUUGGGCGUAAAGAGCGUGUAGGCGGGUAAACAAGUUUGUUGUGAAAUUACAGGGCUUAACCCUGGGAACGCAAUGAAAACUGUUUAUCUUGAGGACAGGAGAGGAAAGUGGAAUUCCCAGUGUAGCGGUGAAAUGCGUAGAUAUUGGGAGGAACACCAGUGGCGAAGGCGACUUUCUGGACUGUAACUGACGCUGAGACGCGAAAGCCAGGGGAGCAAACGGG
rnacentral:rRNA from 1 species